rnacentral:rRNA from 1 species
GAUUAAGUUAUUAAGGGCGCACGGUGGAUGCCUUGGCACUAGAAGCCGAUGAAGGACGUUACUAACGACGAUAUGCUUUGGGGAGCUGUAAGUAAGCUUUGAUCCAGAGAUUUCCGAAUGGGGAAACCCAGCAUGAGUUAUGUCAUGUUAUCGAUAUGUGAAUACAUAGCAUAUCAGAAGGCACACCCGGAGAACUGAAACAUCUUAGUACCCGGAGGAAGAGAAAGAAAAUUCGAUUCCCUUAGUAGCGGCGAGCGAAACGGGAAGAGCCCAAACCAACAAGCUUGCUUGUUGGGGUUGUAGGACACUCUAUACGGAGUUACAAAGGACGACAUUAGACGAAUCAUCUGGAAAGAUGAAUCAAAGAAGGUAAUAAUCCUGUAGUCGAAAAUGUUGUCUCUCUUGAGUGGAUCCUGAGUACGACGGAGCACGUGAAAUUCCGUCGGAAUCUGGGAGGACCAUCUCCUAAGGCUAAAUACUCUCUAGUGACCGAUAGUGAACCAGUACCGUGAGGGAAAGGUGAAAAGCACCCCGGAAGGGGAGUGAAAUAGAACCUGAAACCGUGUGCUUACAAGUAGUCAGAGCCCGUUAAUGGGUGAUGGCGUGCCUUUUGUAGAAUGAACCGGCGAGUUACGAUUUGAUGCAAGGUUAAGCAGUAAAUGUGGAGCCGUAGCGAAAGCGAGUCUGAAUAGGGCGUUUAGUAUUUGGUCGUAGACCCGAAACCAGGUGAUCUACCCUUGGUCAGGUUGAAGUUCAGGUAACACUGAAUGGAGGACCGAACCGACUUACGUUGAAAAGUGAGCGGAUGAACUGAGGGUAGCGGAGAAAUUCCAAUCGAACCUGGAGAUAGCUGGUUCUCUCCGAAAUAGCUUUAGGGCUAGCCUCAAGUGAUGAUUAUUGGAGGUAGAGCACUGUUUGGACGAGGGGCCCCUCUCGGGUUACCGAAUUCAGACAAACUCCGAAUGCCAAUUAAUUUAACUUGGGAGUCAGAACAUGGGUGAUAAGGUCCGUGUUCGAAAGGGAAACAGCCCAGACCACCAGCUAAGGUCCCAAAAUAUAUGUUAAGUGGAAAAGGAUGUGGCGUUGCCCAGACAACUAGGAUGUUGGCUUAGAAGCAGCCAUCAUUUAAAGAGUGCGUAAUAGCUCACUAGUCGAGUGACACUGCGCCGAAAAUGUACCGGGGCUAAACAUAUUACCGAAGCUGUGGAUUGUCCUUUGGACAAUGGUAGGAGAGCGUUCUAAGGGCGUUGAAGCAUGAUCGUAAGGACAUGUGGAGCGCUUAGAAGUGAGAAUGCCGGUGUGAGUAGCGAAAGACGGGUGAGAAUCCCGUCCACCGAUUGACUAAGGUUUCCAGAGGAAGGCUCGUCCGCUCUGGGUUAGUCGGGUCCUAAGCUGAGGCCGACAGGCGUAGGCGAUGGAUAACAGGUUGAUAUUCCUGUACCACCUAUAAUCGUUUUAAUCGAUGGGGGGACGCAGUAGGAUAGGCGAAGCGUGCGAUUGGAUUGCACGUCUAAGCAGUAAGGCUGAGUAUUAGGCAAAUCCGGUACUCGUUAAGGCUGAGCUGUGAUGGGGAGAAGACAUUGUGUCUUCGAGUCGUUGAUUUCACACUGCCGAGAAAAGCCUCUAGAUAGAAAAUAGGUGCCCGUACCGCAAACCGACACAGGUAGUCAAGAUGAGAAUUCUAAGGUGAGCGAGCGAACUCUCGUUAAGGAACUCGGCAAAAUGACCCCGUAACUUCGGGAGAAGGGGUGCUCUUUAGGGUUAACGCCCAGAAGAGCCGCAGUGAAUAGGCCCAAGCGACUGUUUAUCAAAAACACAGGUCUCUGCUAAACCGUAAGGUGAUGUAUAGGGGCUGACGCCUGCCCGGUGCUGGAAGGUUAAGAGGAGUGGUUAGCUUCUGCGAAGCUACGAAUCGAAGCCCCAGUAAACGGCGGCCGUAACUAUAACGGUCCUAAGGUAGCGAAAUUCCUUGUCGGGUAAGUUCCGACCCGCACGAAAGGCGUAACGAUUUGGGCACUGUCUCAACGAGAGACUCGGUGAAAUCAUAGUACCUGUGAAGAUGCAGGUUACCCGCGACAGGACGGAAAGACCCCGUGGAGCUUUACUGUAGCCUGAUAUUGAAAUUCGGCACAGCUUGUACAGGAUAGGUAGGAGCCUUUGAAACGUGAGCGCUAGCUUACGUGGAGGCGCUGGUGGGAUACUACCCUAGCUGUGUUGGCUUUCUAACCCGCACCACUUAUCGUGGUGGGAGACAGUGUCAGGCGGGCAGUUUGACUGGGGCGGUCGCCUCCUAAAAGGUAACGGAGGCGCUCAAAGGUUCCCUCAGAAUGGUUGGAAAUCAUUCAUAGAGUGUAAAGGCAUAAGGGAGCUUGACUG